rnacentral:rRNA from 1 species
GACGAACGCUGGCGGCGUGCCUAACACAUGCAAGUCGAGCGGUAAGGCCCUUCGGGGUACACGAGCGGCGAACGGGUGAGUAACACGUGGGCAACCUGCCCUGCACACUGGGAUAAGCCUGGGAAACUAGGUCUAAUACCGGAUACGACCUCGCGAGGCAUCUCGCAAGGUGGAAAGUUCCGGCGGUGCAGGAUGGGCCCGCGGCCUAUCAGCUUGUUGGUGGGGUAACGGCCUACCAAGGCGACGACGGGUAGCCGGCCUGAGAGGGCGACCAGCCACACUGGGACUGAGACACGGCCCAGACUCCUACGGGAGGCAGCAGUGGGGAAUAUUGGACAAUGGGCGCAAGCCUGAUCCAGCCAUGCCGCGUGUGUGAAGAAGGCCUUCGGGUUGUAAAGCACUUUUGUCCGGAAAGAAAAGCUUAGGGUUAAUAACCUUGAGUCAUGACGGUACCGGAAGAAUAAGCACCGGCUAACUUCGUGCCAGCAGCCGCGGUAGUACGGAGGGUGCGAGCGUUAAUCGGAAUUACUGGGCGUAAAGGGCGCGUAGGCGGUUUGGUAAGUCGGGUGUGAAAGCCCCGGGCUCAACCUGGGAAUUGCAUUCGAUACUGCCUGGCUAGAGUAUGGUAGAGGGAAGCGGAAUUCCUGGU